ensembl:lncRNA
CCUUUAUGCUAAGCUAAGAUAAUUAGCUGCUGAUAUCUCUGUAAAGUUUGAGAAAGAUUUUCUCUUUUUGUCCACAGUGAAUCCUCUGUCUGCAGACAAACCCUUUCAGCCUCGUAUAUCAGGACCCACUCUCACCCUGCACCCGCUGUCUCUCCACCCUGUCCCAUUUUAACAGGAUCAUCUCUGCUCUAAAAAGUAAGAAUUUGAGCUGGUGAAAACUCCCACUGGGGACCCUUACUUCAGGGUCGCAGCCUGGACGAAAGGAUUGAACAGCAGAUACUGCAGACCCCGGCUGAGACACAUGAUCAUCACCUGAUCUGGGUGCAUUGCUCUAAAAGACAGCGGCUCUGCAGUGAAGAAGCC